rnacentral:rRNA from 1 species
UAAUUGGAGAGUUUGAUCCUGGCUCAGAAUGAACGCUGGCGGCGUGCCUAACACAUGCAAGUCGAACGAGAAAUCAGGCACUCAGGCAACUGAGUGCCGGAGAGUAAAGUGGCGCACGGGUGAGUAACGCGUGGGUAACCUGCCCUUGAAACCGGGAUAACAUCGCGAAAGCGUUGCUAAUACCGGAUACUGUCCCAAGAACUAUGGUUCCUGGGAUGAAAGGUGACCUCUCCGUGGAAGUUGCCGUUCAAGGAGGGGCCCGCGUACCAUUAGCUUCGGUCCAGACUCCUACGGGAGGCAGCAGUGAGGAAUUUUGCGCAAUGGGGGAAACCCUGACGCAGCAACGCCGCGUGAGUGAAGAAGGCCUUCGGGUCGUAAAGCUCUGUCAAGGGGGAAAAAAGUCCUGCAGUGAAUAGUUGUAGGAUCUGAUGGUACCUCUAGAGGAAGCACCGGCUAACUCCGUGCCAGCAGCCGCGGUAAUACGGAGGGUGCGAGCGUUGUUCGGAAUUACUGGGCGUAAAGAGCGUGUAGGCGGUUUGGCAAGUCAGAUGUGAAAGCCUUCCGCUCAACGGAAGAAGUGCAUUUGAAACUGCCAUUCUAGAGUAUGGGAGAGGAGAGUGGAAUUCCCGGUGUAGAGGUGAAAUUCGUAGAUAUCGGGAGGAACACCUGUGGCGAAGGCGACUCUCUGGACCAAUACUGACGCUGAGACGCGAAAGCGUGGGGAGCAAACAGGAUUAGAUACCCUGGUAGUCCACGCCGUAAACGAUGAGCACUAGGUGUAG